rnacentral:tRNA from 1 species
GGGUCGUUAGCUCAGUUGGUAGAGCAGUUGACUUUUGAUCAAUUGGUCGCAGGUUCGAAUCCUGCACGACCCACCA